rnacentral:rRNA from 1 species
GGGGGAAACGGUAUCGGAUUACUGGGCGUAAGCGCACGCAGGCGGUCUGUCAAGUCGGAUGUGAAAUCCCCGGGCUCAACCUGGGAACUGCAUUCGAAACUGGCAGGCUAGAGUCUUGUAGAGGGGGGUAGAAUUCCAGGUGUAGCGGUGAAAUGCGUAGAGAUCUGGAGGAAUACCGGUGGCGAAGGCGGCCCCCUGGACAAAGACUGACGCUCAGGUGCGAAAGCGUGGGGAGCAAACAGGAUUAGAUACCCUGGUAGUCCACGCCGUAAACGAUGUCGAUUUGGAGGUUGUGCCCUUGAGGCGUGGCUUCCGGAGCUAACGCGUUAAAUCGACCGCCUGGGGAGUACGGCCGCAAGGUUAAAACUCAAAUGAAUUGACGGGGGCCCGCACAAGCGGUGGAGCAUGUGGUUUAAUUCGAUGCAACGCGAAGAACCUUACCUGGUCUUGACAUCCACAGAACUUACCAGAGAUGCUUUGGUGCCUUCGGGAACUGUGAGACAGGUGCUGCAUGGCUGUCGUCAGCUCGUGUUGUGAAAUGUUGGGUUAAGUCCCGCAACGAGCGCAACCCUUAUCCUUUGUUGCCAGCGGUUAGGCCGGGAACUCAAAGGAGACUGCCAGUGAUAAACUGGAGGAAGGUGGGGAUGACGUCAAGUCAUCAUGGCCCUUACGACCAGGGCUACACACGUGCUACAAUGGCAUAUACAAAGAGAAGCGACCUCGCGAGAGCAAGCGGACCUCAUAAAGUAUGUCGUAGUCCGGAUUGGAGUCUGCAACUCGACUCCAUGAAGUCGGAAUCGCUAGUAAUCGUAGAUCAGAAUGCUACGGUGAAUACGUUCCCGGGCCUUGUACACACCGCCCGUCACACCAUGGGAGUGGGUUGCAAAAGAAGUAGGUAGCUUAACCUUCGGGAGGGCGCUUACCACUUUGUGAUUCAUGACUGGGGUGAAUCACAAAAGGGGGGAACCCAAAAGGCCGCAACAAAACCACCAUUUUUUUAAACGAAGGGAAAAACACAAAAAA